CGCGUAGGCGGCCUACUAAGUCGGACGUGAAAUCCCUCGGCUCAACCGAGGAACUGCGUCCGAUACUGGCAGGCUGGAAUCCGGGAGAGGGAUGUGGAAUUCCAGGUGUAGCGGUGAAAUGCGUAGAUAUCUGGAGGAACACCGGUGGCGAAGGCGGCAUCCUGGACCGGUAUUGACGCUGAGGCGCGAAAGCUAGGGAGCAAACG
rnacentral:rRNA from 1 species